rnacentral:rRNA from 1 species
UACGAAGGGUGCAAGCGUUAAUCGGAAUUACUGGGCGUAAAGCGUGCGCAGGCGGUUUGUUAAGUCUGUUGUGAAAUCCCCGAGCUCAACUUGGGAAUUGCAAUGGAUACUGGCAGGCUGGAGUAUGGUAGAGGAAGGUGGAAUUCCCGGUGUAGCAGUGAAAUGCGUAGAGAUCGGGAGGAACACAAGUGGCGAAGGCGGCCUUCUGGACCAAUACUGACGCUCAUGCACGAAAGCGUGGGGAGCAAACAGG